rnacentral:lncRNA from 1 species
GUGGGACUCACGUGACCGGCAGCAUUAUCGGAGGUGCUGUUCUCCGACGAACCAGCCGGCGAAUCAGCUGGAGAUCCGGCGGGAGUGUCGGUUGGUGGAGCUGGGGGUGAAGCGGCUAAUGGCGAUGGUGCUUCGGAUAAUGGAGAAGGUGUCGGUGAAGGUGAAGAAACUGGUUCAGGAGCAGGUGCUGGCGACGGUGACUUUCCGAACAACUCAGAGGGUAACAAAAUAUUGUCGACGGUGAAUAUCACGACCGGUGGGGAGUCAAAAACUGCUUCAGCGACUCUAGAUGGACUGAUUCCAGUAUGAAGCGUGACGGAAUCACCGGCGGCG